AAUGACUUUCCUUUUCUUUCAUUUUAUUUGAUCUUGAACUUCUGUUUCGUGCCUCAUUCUCUUAUUGAUGAAUAAACUCAACUUGACUAGGGUUUUAUUAUGUUAUAUUUGUAAUUGAUUGACAAAUUAAUUUCAAAAGCUCUUAAACAUUUUGCCAAACAAUCUUAAGAAAUUGGGCCAGUGUUUGCAAUAUAUACCAGGAGUCUUUUGUUUCUCAUGAUCAAGUUAUUAGUUGUCAUUUGUCAAGUAAAUACAUUAUACUCUAAUCAUUCAGCAAAGUUUUAGCUAACAUGGGGUUGUUGCCUUUGCUGUAGCUAGUUCUUUCUUGGCACAUGAAGGCAGCCACUAUGUGUGAAUUUUCCAAGCAGGAGUUCAUUGGUGGUUUGCAAGCUCUUGGGAUAGAUUCGCUGGAGAAAUUCCGCGAUCGUAUGCAAUUUAUGCGUUCUGAGCUGAAAGAUGAGCAAAAGUUUCGUGAGAUCUACAACUUUGCUUUUGGCUGGGCAAAAGAGAAGGCAUGCAUGC